AGGACGAACGCUGGCGGCGUGCUUAACACAUGCAAGUCGAGCGAGAGCCAGUUGAGGGGUAACCCUCGACUGGGGACAGCGGCGAACGGGUGCGUAACACGUGGGCAACCUGCCCCUGACACUGGGAUAACCCCGGGAAACCGGAGCUAAUACCGGAUACUCUCGGCCGAUCACAUGGCUGGCCGAGGAAAGGUCCGCCGGUCAGGGAUGGGCCCGCGGCCUAUCAGCUUGUUGGUGGGGUAACGGCCUACCAAGGCGACGACGGGUAGCUGGUCUGAGAGGACGACCAGCCACACUGGAACUGAGAUACGGUCCAGACUCCUACGGGAGGCAGCAGUGGGGAAUAUUGCACAAUGGGCGAAAGCCUGAUGCAGCGACGCCGCGUGAGGGAUGAAGGCCUUCGGGUCGUAAACCUCUUUCGGCAGGGACGAAGCGAUCAGUGACGGUACCUGCAGAAGAAGCCCGGACUAACUACGUGCCAGCAGCCGC
rnacentral:rRNA from 1 species